CCUGCCUCAUACUGGGGAAUAACAGCCGGAAACGGUUGCUAAAACCGCAUAAUAUGCUAGCAUCGCAUGAUGUCUGCAUUAAAUAUUAAUAGGUAUGAGAUGGGCCCGCGUCUGAUUAGCUAGUUGGCGGGAUAAAAGCUCACCAAGGCUUCGAUCAGUAGCCGGCUUGAGAGAGUGACCGGCCACAUUGGGACUGAGACACGGCCCAAACUCCUACGGGAGGCAGCAGUGGGGAAUAUUGCACAAUGGGGGAAACCCUGAUGCAGCGACGCCGCGUGAGUGAAGAAGUAUUUCGGUAUGUAAAGCUCUAUCAGCAGGGAAGAAAAUGACGGUACCUGACUAAGAAGCCCCGGCUAACAACGUGCCAGCAGCCGCGGUAAUACGUAGGGGGCAAGCGUUAUCCGGAUUUACUGGGUGUAAAGGGAGCGUAGGUGGCAAAUCAAGUCAGAUGUGAAAGCCCGGGGCUCAACUCCGGGAUUGCAUUUGAAACUGGUAUGCUAGAGUGCAGGAGAGGUAAGUGGAAUUCCUAGUGUAGCGGUGAGAUGCGUAGAUAUUAGGAGGAACACCAGUGGCGAAGGCGGCUUACUG
rnacentral:rRNA from 1 species